rnacentral:rRNA from 1 species
GACGAACGCUGGCGGCGUGCUUAACACAUGCAAGUCGAGCGGUAAGGCCCUUUCGGGGGUACGACGAGCGGCGAACGGGUGAGUAACACGUGGGUGACCUGCCCUCAGCUCUGGGAGUAAGCCUGGGAAACCGGGUACUAAUACUGGAUAUGACUCCAUGACGCAUGUUGUGGGGUGGAAAGCCUUGUGCGGCUGAGGAUGGGCCCGCGGCCUAUCAGCUUGUUGGUGGGGUGAUGGCCUACCAAGGCGACGA